rnacentral:rRNA from 1 species
UACGAAGGGUGCAAGCGUUACUCGGAAUUACUGGGCGUAAAGCGUGCGUAGGUGGUUUGUUAAGUCUGCUGUGAAAGCCCCGGGCUCAACCUGGGAAUGGCAGUGGAUACUGGCAAGCUAGAGUGCGGUAGAGGGGUGUGGAAUUCCCGGUGUAGCGGUGAAAUGCGUAGAGAUCGGGAGGAACACCAAUGGCGAAGGCGGCACCCUGGACCAGCACUGACACUCAUGCACGAAAGCGUGGGGAGCAAACAGG